ACGGAGUCAACUUCGCUUUUGUUUUUUUUGUGAUACGGUUAGCAUCUCGAAACGUCGAGCAACGUUUGAUGAUUUAGCUAUUUGGACAAGUCGAGUUACGGAGUCAACUUUGCUGGUGUAUUUUCAUGGAACUACAUUUGGAAUUGUACAACGUGGAGCAG